rnacentral:rRNA from 1 species
ACGGGUGAGUAACGCGUGAGCAACCUGCCCUAUACCGGGGGAUACCAGUUGGAAACGACUGUUAAUACCGCAUAAGCGCACAGGAAGACAUCUUCCGGUGUGAAAAACUCCGGUGGUAUAGGAUGGGCUCGCGUAUGAUUAGCCAGUUGGCGGGGUAAAGGCCCACCAAAGCGACGAUCAUUAGCCGACCUGAGAGGGCGACCGGCCACAUUGGGACUGAGACACGGCCCAAACUCCUACGGGAGGCAGCAGUGGGGAAUAUUGCACAAUGGGCGAAAGCCUGAUGCAGCGACGCCGCGUGAGUGAGGAAGUAUUUCGGUAUGUAAAGCUCUAUCAGCAGGGAAGAAAGAAAUGACGGUACCUGAGUAAGAAGCUCCGGCUAAAUACGUGCCAGCAGCCGCGGUAAUACGUAUGGAGCAAGCGUUAUCCGGAUUUACUGGGUGUAAAGGGAGCGUAGGCGGCAGAGCAAGUCUGAUGUGAAAGCCCGGGGCUCAACCCCGGUAGUGCAUUGGAAACUGUUCGGCUGGAGUGUCGGAGGGGUAAGCGGAAUUCCUGGUGUAGCGGUGAAAUGCGUAGAUAUCAGGAAGAACACCGGAGGCGAAGGCGGCUUACUGGACGAUUACUGACGCUGAGGCUCGAAAGCGUGGGGAGCGAACAGGAUUAGAUACCCUGGUAGUCCACGCUGUAAAC